AACCUACGGGAGGCAGCAGUGAGGAAUAUUGGUCAAUGGGCGCGAGCCUGAACCAGCCAAGUAGCGUGAAGGAUGACUGCCCUACGGGUUGUAAACUUCUUUUAUAAAGGAAUAAAGUGAGGCACGUGUGCCUUUUUGUAUGUACUUUAUGAAUAAGGAUCGGCUAACUCCGUGCCAGCAGCCGCGGUAAUACGGAGGAUCCGAGCGUUAUCCGGAUUUAUUGGGUUUAAAGGGAGCGUAGAUGGGUUGUUAAGUCAGUGGUGAAAGUUUGCGGCGCAACGGUAAAAUUGCAAUUGAUACUGGCG
rnacentral:rRNA from 1 species